GACGAACGCUGGCGGCGUGCCUAACACAUGCAAGUCGAGCGGGGACAUUGCGACGGACAUGAAGAUUUCGGUUGGAUUGAAAGAUGUAAUGUUCUAGCGGCGGACGGGUGAGUAACGCGUGAGCAACCUGUCCCUUACAGGGGGAUAACACAGCGAAAGUUGUACUAAUACCGCAUAAGACCACAGGAUGACAUCGUCCAGGGGUCAAAGGAGUAAUCCGGUAAGGGGUGGGCUCGCGUCCGAUUAGAUAGUUGGUGAGGUAACGGCCCACCAAGUCGACGAUCGGUAGCCGACCUGAGAGGGUGAUCGGCCACAUUGGGACUGAGACACGGCCCAAACUCCUACGGGAGGCAGCAGUGGGGAAUAUUGGGCAAUGGGGGAAACCCUGACCCAGCAACGCCGCGUGAGGGAAGAAGGUUUUCGGAUCGUAAACCUCUGUCCUUGGUGAAGAGGAAGAGACG
rnacentral:rRNA from 1 species